rnacentral:rRNA from 1 species
GAUGAACGCUGGCGGCGUGCCUAAUACAUGCAAGUCGAGCGAACAGACGAGGAGCUUGCUCCUCUGACGUUAGCGGCGGACGGGUGAGUAACACGUGGAUAACCUACCUAUAAGACUGGGAUAACUUCGGGAAACCGGAGCUAAUACCGGAUAAUAUAUUGAACCGCAUGGGUCAAUAGUGAAAGACGGUUUUGCUGUCACUUAUAGAUGGAUCCGCGCCGCAUUAGCUAGUUGGUAAGGUAACGGCUUACCAAGGCGACGAUGCGUAGCCGACCUGAGAGGGUGAUCGGCCACACUGGAACUGAGACACGGUCCAGACUCCUACGGGAGGCAGCAGUAGGGAAUCUUCCGCAAUGGGCGAAAGCCUGACGGAGCAACGCCGCGUGAGUGAUGAAGGUCUUCGGAUCGUAAAACUCUGUUAUUAGGGAAGAACAAAUGUGUAAGUAACUAUGCACGUCUUGACGGUACCUAAUCAGAAAGCCACGGCUAACUACGUG